rnacentral:misc_RNA from 1 species
GUGAAUCAUCAAAUUUUUGAACGCAAAUUGCACUCUCUUCUGAGAGUAUGACUGUUUGAGGGUGAGGAUUAAUAAAAAUCGGUGUUUUGCUACUUUGUGACGCUCCGGAGUUUGGGUCAUCUUAAAAUCCUUUAGGUUUUAAGUGGCUUAUAAUUGACUUUUUGUGCGCAUUUUAUAUGUCCAUAGCUU